AAAAAAGGACGGCGUAAGCUGUCGCUAAAGGAUGGACCUGCGGUGCAUUAGCUAGUUGGUAAGGUAACGGCUUACCAAGGCGAUGAUGCAUAGCCGAGUUGAGAGACUGAUCGGCCACAUUGGGACUGAGACACGGCCCAAACUCCUACGGGAGGCAGCAGUAGGGAAUCUUCCACAAUGGACGCAAGUCUGAUGGAGCAACGCCGCGUGAGUGAAGAAGGUUUUCGGAUCGUAAAGCUCUGUUGUUGGUGAAGAAGGAUAGAGGUAGUAACUGGCCUUUAUUUGACGGUAAUCAACCAGAAAGUCACGGCUAACUACGUGCCAGCAGCCGCGGUAAAU
rnacentral:rRNA from 1 species